GAUGAACGCUAGCGGCAGGCCUAACACAUGCAAGUCGAGGGAGAAGCCCUUCGGGGCGGAAACCGGCGCACGGGUGCGUAACGCGUAUGCAACCUACCUUUCACAGGGGGAUAGCCCGAAGAAAUUUGGAUUAAUACCCCAUAAUAUUGUUGGAUGGCAUCAUUUAGCAAUUAAAACUGAGGUGGUGAAAGAUGGGCAUGCGUCCUAUUAGCUAGUUGGAGUGGUAACGGCACCCCAAGGCUACGAUAGGUAGGGGUCCUGAGAGGGAGAUCCCCCACACUGGUACUGAGACAGGGACCAGACUCCUACGGGAGGCAGCAGUGAGGAAUAUUGGUCAAUGGUCGGAAGACUGAACCAGCCAUGCCGCGUGCAGGAAGAAUGCCUUAUGGGUUGUAAACUGCUUUUAUAUGGGAAGAAUAAGGUGUACGNGUACAUGANGACGGU
rnacentral:rRNA from 1 species